rnacentral:rRNA from 1 species
CUACGGGCGGCACCAGUGGGGAAUAUUGGACAAUGGGGGAAACCCUGAUCCAGCAAUGCCGCGUGUGUGAAGAAGGCCUGCGGGUUGUAAAGCACUUUCGGUUGGGAGGACUGCUUCUAGCACUAAUAUUGUUGGAAGUUGACGUUACCUUCAGAAGAAGCACCGGCUAACUCCGUGCCAGCAGCCGCGGUAAUACGGGUGGUGCAAGCGUUAAUCGGAAUUACUGGGCGUAAAGCGCGCGUAGGCGGCUAGAUCAGUCGGGUGUGAAAGCCCCGGGCUUAACCUGGGAACUGCAUCCGAUACUGUCUAGCUUGAGUACAGGAGAGGAGAGUGGAAUUCCACAUGUAGCGGUGAAAUGCGUAGAUAUGUGGAGGAACACCAAUGGCGAAGGCAGCUCUCUGGCCUGAUACUGACGCUGAGGUGCGAAAGCGUGGGGAGCAAACAGGAUUAGAUACCCCGGUAGUC